UACGUAGGGUGCGAGCGUUGUCCGGAAUUACUGGGCGUAAAGAGCUCGUAGGUGGUUUGUCGCGUUGUUCGUGAAAACUCACAGCUCAACUGUGGGCGUGCGGGCGAUACGGGCAGACUGGAGUACUGCAGGGGAGACUGGAAUUCCUGGUGUAGCGGUGAAAUGCGUAGAUAUCAGGAGGAAUACCGGUGGCGAAAGCGACUCUCUGGACGGCAACUGACGCUGAGGCACGAAAGCGUGGGGAGCAAACAGG
rnacentral:rRNA from 1 species